rnacentral:rRNA from 1 species
AACCCAAACGAUGAAGCCCCUGCUUGCAGGGGUGGAUUAGUGGCGAACGGGUGAGUAACACGUGAGCAACCUGCCCCUGACUCUGGGAUAAGCGCUGGAAACGGUGUCUAAUACCGGAUAUGUGCCAUGGCCGCAUGGUCUGUGGUUGGAAAGAUUUUUCAGGUGGGGAUGGGCUCGCGGCCUACCCACUUGUUGGUGGGGUCAUGACUCACCAAGGCGUCGACGGGCGGCCGGCCUGAGAGGGUGACCGUUUACACUGGGACUGAGACACGGCCCAGACUCCUACGGGAGGCAGCAGUGGGGAAUAUUCACAAUGGGCGGAAGCCUGAUGCAGCAACGCCGCGUGAGGGAUGACGGCCUUCGGGUUGCUGAUCUCUUUUAGCAGGGAAGAAGCGAAAGUGACGGUACCUGCAGAAAAAGCACCGGCUAACUACGUGCCAGCAGCCGCGGUAAUACGUAGGGUGCAAGCGUUAUCCGGAAUUAUUGGGCGUAAAGAGCUCGUAGGCGGUUUGUCGCGUCUGCCGUGAAAUUCUCAGGCUCAACCUGAGGCUUGCGGUGGGUACGGGCAGACUUGAGUGCG